rnacentral:rRNA from 1 species
GCCAGUCAGCAGCCGCGGUAAUACGUAGGGCGCAAGCGUUGUCCGGAUUUAUUGGGCGUAAAGGGCUCGUAGGCGGUUCGGUAAGUCGGGUGUGAAAACUCAGGGCUCAACCCUGAGACGCCACUCGAUACUGCCAUGACUAGAGUCCGGUAGAGGAGUGCGGAAUUCCUGGUGUAGCGGUGAAAUGCGCAGAUAUCAGGAGGAACACCGACAGCGAAGGCAGCACUCUGGGCCGGUACUGACGCUGAGGAGCGAAAGCGUGGGGAGCAAACAGGAUUAGAUACCCUGGUAGUCCACGCCGUAAACGUUGUGCACUAGGUGUGGGUCCCAUCCAACGGGAUCCGUGCCGCAGCUAACGCAUUAAGUGCACCGCCUGGGGAGUACGGCCGCAAGGCUAAAACUCAAAGGAAUUGGCGGGGGAGCACGGUCAUACUUGUUUCCUGA